GUCCCUGUAGCACAACGGAUAGCGUGUUUGGAUUUCUACUCCAAAGGCGUGCGUUCGAAUACCACCUGGGAUG